rnacentral:rRNA from 1 species
AUGGCCAUCCACCACGGCGUGCAGCUGAUGGCACUGGCCUCUCUGGUGCUCGUCGCCGCGGUGGCUCCAGCCACGACGCACCUCCGCUUCUACAUGCACGACAUCGUGACGGCGGAGGCGCCGAGCGCGGCCACGGCGGUGCGCGUCGUCAGGGGCCUGACGCCGCUGCCCAACGACCCCACCAACCGCUUCGGCGACAUGUACACCAUCGACGACGCUCUCACGGAGGGGCCCGGCGCGGCGUCGCCGGUCAUCGGGAGGGCGCAAGGGUUCUACCUCUUCGCGUCGCAGACGGACGCCGCGCUGCUGCUCAGCGCCAACAUGCUGUUCACGGCGGGGAAGCACAACGGCAGCACCGUCGCCGUGUUCGCCAGGGACGCCAUCCUCGACACCGUCAGGGAGCUGCCGGUCGUCGGCGGCACCGGCGCCUUCCGCGGAGCUGCUGGAUACGGCCUGCUUCGGACGAAUACGUACAACGCCACCACCAGCAACGCCGUGCUCCAGAUCGACAUGUACCUGCACGUGUAG